rnacentral:rRNA from 1 species
GACGAACGCUGGCGGCGUGCUUAACACAUGCAAGUCGAACGGAAAGGCCUCAGCUUGCUGGGGUACUCGAGUGGCGAACGGGUGAGUAACACGUGGGUGAUCUGCCUUGCACUCUGGGAUAAGCCUGGGAAACUGGGUCUCAUACCGGAUAUGAUCUGUCUUUCGGGUGGUGGUUGGAAAGUUUUUUCGGUGCAAGAUGAGCUCGCGGCGGAUCAGCUUGUUGGUGGGGUAAUGGCCUACUAAGGCGUCGAUGGGUAGCCGACCUGUGAGGGGGAUGGCCGACAUGGGAAGUGAGCGGCCACAUUGAGACUGAGAGACGGCCCAGACUCCGACGGGAGGCAGAUGUGGGGAAGCUUGCACGAUGGGCGGCAGGCGGAUGCAGAGACGCCUCGUGGGGGAAGACGGCCUUAGGGUUGUAAACUCAUUUCGACAGGGACGAAGCUUUUUGUGACGGUACCUGUAUAAGAAGCACCGGCUAACUACGUG